UUUCUUUUUUUUUUUAAAUACUUUUACUCAUCAAGGGUGCAAACAUUGAUCAAAAGUGAUAGUAAUGUAAAAAAAUGUUACAAUUGUUUUUUAUUUAAAAUUGAACUUUGAACUUUCUAUUCAUCAAAAAAUCCUGAAAAAGUAUUGAAAAAUAUUAUGGUUUCCACAAAAAUGUCAGGGAACACAACUGAUAAUAACAUUAAUGAUAAUAAAUGAAGACCAAUUCAGUAUAAUUUUUUUUUGAAGGGUUUCUGAUGUGAAACUGAAAACUGAAAUAAUGAUGCUAAAAAUUCAGCUCUGCAUCACAGGAAUAAAUACAAAUAGAAAACUUUAAAAAUAUAAACAUUGAUUUUAAAUUGUAAUAGAAUUUCACAUUACUCGUUUUAUUGUAUUUUUGAUUAAAUACGACCAUAAGACAGAUAUAUAAUGUUUUUUUUUUUUUUUUUUGGAAAAUGUUUAGUUUCUAUUAAGCAAGACAUUUUUUUUCAACCCUCUAUUAGAGUAAUGUUAAAUAUAUAAACCUUAAUGAAAAUGUAUUUGUAAAGUGCUUGAAACAUUGUCCAGAGGGACAAAACUCUCCUGAUCACCGAAGCAGAAGUAAAAAAAAAUAAAAAUAAAAAAAUUAUACCAGAUAGUCGGUUUAAUGCUCUUGUCAAAUGUUUCCUCACCUCUAGGUCCCUGGGACUGAGAGGAGGUUUCUGUGCCACAGGACAACAUGAUGAACACAUGUCCUCCGAGCCCCAGAGAGAAGCAGAAAGAAGCCAUUGAGUGUUGACACAAUGCCAGUAAAAAAUGGAGCCAUGAAAAUGACUCUCCCAUGUGUUGAUUGGAUUCUGCCAGCUCAUGCUUGCUGUGCAUAUUAAUUAGGAAGAAAGGCGACCCACUGUGUCCUGGAUCACACUGUGCACUUGUCCUUUUGGGAGAGGGAGCAAGAGGAGAAAGAGGCUGUUUUUUGACGUAGUACCUCUCCUGCAGGUGUCAGUGCUGCACUAUGGUCCGGGGGGAUUGGCUGCAAUGCAUCAUGGGAGAGUAGCUAAUCACAGACAAAGUAUGUGGCAGGAGAUGUCAACACACAGUGAGGAACAAAACCAAACUCAGAGGAAGAAAGGAACACGGUAAUGAUUCUCUCUGUUCCUGAACACAUAUAUGGGAAAUGAUGAUGGUGUCUUUAAAAUGAUGUAGGAUGAAAAGGUAAGAUGAAAAGGAGAAAGAAAAGACGUGACAAGCACGGAUAAUAAUCUUUAUUCACGCUAAAAUAAACCUAUAUUCUCUUAGAAAGGCA
ensembl:lncRNA